UCAAAGGAACCGAUAAAA
rnacentral:misc_RNA from 1 species